rfam:Ipomoea nil chloroplast DNA, complete sequence, cultivar: Tokyo-kokei standard
CUACGGACUUAAUUGGAUUGAGCCUUGGUAUGGAAACUUACUAAGUGAUAACUUUCAAAUUCAGAGAAACCCUGGAAUUAAAAAAAUGGGCAAUCCUGAGCCAAAUCCUGUUUUCCGAAAACAAACAAAAGUUCAGAAAAAAAGGAUAGGUGCAGAGACUCAAUGGAAGCUGUUCUAACAAAUGGAGUUCGCUGUAUUGAAGAAAGAAUUGAAUAAUCAUUGAAUUGAUUAAAUCAUUCACUCCAUAGUAUAGUCUGAUAGAUCUUUUGACGAACUGAUUAAUCGGACGAGAAUAAAGAUAGAGUCCUGUUCUACAUGUCAAUACCGG